CGGAGUGUAGCUCAGCCUGGUAGAGCACUGUCUUCGGGAGGCAGGGGCCCACGGUUCAAAUCCGUGCACUCCGACCA
rnacentral:tRNA from 1 species